GUAGAUGAAAUAGCUAAUGAAUAGAUAAAAGAUAGAUGAGAGAUAAUGGAUAGAUAAAUGAAGAUAGUUGAUUGAUAUAGGAGAUACAGAGAUGAUGAAAUAAAUGAUGAAAAGACAGAAGGAUAGAUAGAUGAUAGAUAGAUGGAUAAUUAUUACAUACUACAUACCAGGUACUUCAUUAAACCCUGAGGAUACAAAUCCAAUUCUCUCUCCUCAAGAAGCUUACAUUCUGAUGGAAAACUGACAGCACACAAAGAAUUAGAAGAGCUUGAGGGAGGGGAAGAAUAUAGCUAUUGAGAAAGAAAAGUCUGGAGGUUGAGUAUGCAAUCAAAUGAAGCAAGACUGGUGUGGGUUGAAAGUCAUCAAUCAAGGCAUUAGGUCAGAGGUAUCUCCAGAGUGGCAAGGUAGCUGGUGAGAAGUUCAGAAGGGGGAGUGGACAGUACAAUCAAAUAUCAGAUGAAUAAAUAUCUAUCCCAAAGAUAAACACGAUCAUGCUUGGAGUUCCUGACUCCUUUUGAUCACAGCUGCCCGGCAACAAGUAAAGGAGUCUCUGGCAACUAUCAGAGAAGAUGAUCAUCAAUAAAAGCAGCAUCCAAGGCUGAUCUGUCUCAUCAGAAAACAAUUAUUUGGACAGUACAAAACAUCCCCAUCCAGCAACUCCAAAACUGCUUUAUAUUUUGAUGUGUGCUUCAGCCACCAUGGACUCAUGGCACAAGGCCGAAGUAUUGAACCAAAACAUCCAUCAAGCCACUGAAAGUCACAAGGAGGAAUCCAGGCUCACACUCCUCAAUGACCUCAGUAGGAGUGGGGAAAAGAGUGGGUUGAUUUUGUUACAAUAACAUGAGCUGACAAAAAUCAGCCCAGGGAACAAAAUAAAGAAAUAG